UACGAAGGGGGCUAGCGUUGCUCGGAAUCACUGGGCGUAAAGGCGCGUAGGCGGCCGAUUAAGUCGGGGGUGAAAGCCUGUGGCUCAACCACAGAAUUGCCUUCGAUACUGGUUGGCUUGAGACCGGAAGAGGACAGCGAACUGCGAGUGUAGAGGUGAAAUUCGUAGAUAUUCGCAAGAACACCAGUGGCGAAGGCGGCGAUCUGGGUCGAUACUGACGCUGAGGUGCGAAAGCGUGGGGAGCAAACAGG
rnacentral:rRNA from 1 species